rnacentral:lncRNA from 1 species
CGGUUCGCGAUCCUCCUCUCUGGCUCCGGGCUGCGCGCAGAGUCUGGGUGGCGAGCGAAUGGUGCCUGCGAUCUUCUGCCUCGGGGAGCCGGCUGUCUUCCUUGUGCUAAAAAAAGGGAGGAAGUCUGUCUGCCACAGGGCAGAGGGUGGUAUCCAAAGGGUCUCCUCUCCUUGAGUGACUGGUUCCUCCAUUGGAUCUCAGCUCGUAGCUCCUGACCUCAAGCAAAGAGAUAAGCGCGGCUAAGAAAAUGUCUCUCAAGCUCAGACCUCAGGGCGAGUGGGAAAACACCCAACUCAGGGCUUCAGCGUUUAAGUAGGGAGAAGGAGAUGUGAGAUUAGAGAAAGUCGAAGAAGGGCUAAUGGGAAGACAAGGGAGACUUUAAAAUGUCAUCUGAAAGGGAAUCAGGAGCAAGCACCAAGAAAUGAGCUGAGCAGUCUCUCUCCAAAUGUUUUCUGUAGGCAAGGUUCAUCGAGUGCUGUAGCAAUUGUAGAGGCGUCCGAGGGAGACAGGGGCCAGCGGGUUGGCUAGAACGACUUGCAACUAUGUUAAUGACUUUGGCCAAGUAACGUUUGAAGUUCAACUGAGCCAGAAUGGACAGAGACGAGUGCUACUGAAGUGGAAAUGUCUUAUAUCCUGUUUUGUGAUUCCCUGCCUCAGAGCUGAGUCACCCCUGCCUGAAGAAAGGAUCCUUCAUCCCAAGGCUCACUCACUUCCUAUCCAAGCCAUCUCAAGCUAAAGGCAAAUGAACCAAGGAACCCCUCCUGCGCCUGGACCUGAAGAUGAAGGGCUAUAAUCCCAGCUUCUCAGGAGGACAAGGCGGGAGGAGUUCCAGGUCACUCUGGGAAAUCUAGAGACUCUCAAAAAAAAAAAAAAAAUCAAAAGGAUUGGAAACUUCAAGGAGUCAUAGUACAAUGGAUAACCUUCUCAGUGCACAUGGGUCCCGUGCCCUAGCACCCAAUAGGUAGAUCUCCUGCUUGUCCGUUCCCUAGCAUCCAAUACUGGCAAGAGAGGCAAAGGCCCCCACCUCCUCUGCCUCUCUCCUUACUCCCUUUCCCGACUCAGAGUCCUAGGUUGGUUAAGAACCCCCUAGCCCCACAGGCAGCUGUCCUUUGCACUUAGCCAAGCAAGGUGGGGUGGGCAUGACCCCCAUUCUGACUUGUACUUCCUCUCUCUGUUGCCAGGCUUCUAGUUGGCAUUGCUCGCCUGCCACUUCCUCCAUUCCAACCGUCUCUCUUCACUCUGAAACCCAAAGCCUGCUCAAGACCCAGUUGGUUCAGAGCUCAGGUUCAUGUGUCUUAGGAGAGGGUUCUAUUAGUCUGGAAAAUGAGUGCAGCCAGAAGACAAGAAACUGGCUGGGGGGGGGAUUGGGGGAAGGGAAGAUGACCGAGGAGCCCCCCCCCCUUCUCUCUACCCCAUCCCAUGAUUUCCUUUGUCUCCUGUCCCAAUCCCAACCCAUCUCCCCACCCCCAGCCUAUGAGCCUGGAGGCUUCCCAAUAAAACAGUAUUGUAACGGCUGCUUGGGAAAAGCAACAGUCCCGGACGGACGCAGCAAAGAUAUUGUCUUCUCUUCUCUGGCCAAGAGAAAUUUUAAUCACCCUGUGGAGUAAUGGCCUCAGAAUAGCAUAAUAGAAACAGUGCUUAAAAUACUUGGAUAAACA